UACGUAGGGUGCAAGCGUUGUCCGGAAUUAUUGGGCGUAAAGAGCUCGUAGGCGGUUUGUCGCGUCUGCUGUGAAAUCUGGGGGCUCAACCCCCAGCCUGCAGUGGGUACGGGCAGACUAGAGUGCGGUAGGGGAGAUUGGAAUUCCUGGUGUAGCGGUGGAAUGCGCAGAUAUCAGGAGGAACACCAAUGGCGAAGGCAGAUCUCUGGGCCGUAACUGACGCUGAGGGGCGAAAGCAUGGGGAGCGAACAGG
rnacentral:rRNA from 1 species